rnacentral:tRNA from 1 species
GGCGCCGUGGCUCAAGUUGGUUAAAGCGCCUGUCUAGUAAACAGGAGAUCACGAGUUCGAAUCUCGUCGGUGCCU